AGAGUUUGAUCCUGGCUCAGAACGAACGCUGGCGGCGUGGAUAAGACAUGCAAGUGGGACGCUAAUAGGCAGGUAGCAAUAUUUGUCUGUUGGAGUCGCGUAAGGGUGCGUAACACGUGGGUAAUUUGCCGUGAAGCUCGGAAUAACCUGCCGAAAGGCAUGCUAAUACCGAAUGUGUCUGCAGAUAGGAUCUAUUUGCAGACGAAGCCGGGGAUCGUAAGACCUGGCACUUCGCGAUAAGCCCGCGGCCUAUCAGCUAGUUGGUGAGGUAAUGGCUCACCAAGGCUAAGACGGGUAGCUGGUCUUAGAGGACGACCAGCCACACUGGAACUGAGACACGGUCCAGACACCUACGGGUGGCAGCAGUCGAGAAUUUUUCACAAUGGGCGAAAGCCUGAUGGAGCGACGCCGCGUGGGGGAUGAAUGGCUUCGGCCCGUAAACCCCUGUCAUUCGGGAUCAAAUCUGCCAGCCUAAUACGUUGGUAGUUGAUAGUACUGAAAGAGGAAGGGACGGCUAACUCUGUGCCAGCAGCCGCGGUAAUACAGAGGUCCCAAGCGUUGUUCGGAUUUACUGGGCGUAAAGGGCGCGUAGGUUGCAAGCUAAGUCUAAUGUGAAAGCUCUGAGCUUAACUCA
rnacentral:rRNA from 1 species